UAAUCCUUAUCUAAAAUGUAACUCUAAUAAACAAGAUAUUUCUUCACUUCAUAAAUAUGAUGAUUGUAAUUAGAAAACAAAUUAUUUAAAGUAACCGCUUUUUUUUUACAACCUAACUUUUAUGCAAGGCAUUUUUAUUGACAAAAGUAUUAUUAAACUAUUACUUGUUUCAAACUUAUAUUAAUUGAAACUUCUCAUUUAUUAAAAUUGCAAAACUAAAAACAUUUUAGAAUCGUUUUAUUGUAUUACCAGCUGUUAUAUUUAUAAUACGCAUUUUAAGAAGGCGACUUUAAUUAAAAGCUCAAAGGCAGAAAACAUCCAAUCGCAUGACGUGUAAUAUUGAAAUGAAGAAUAUUAAAAAUGUUUUUAUUAUAAAGUCGUAUGCAUUUCAAUGAACUCUGACAUAACAUGCAUUUAAAAGGAUAUCAAUUAUAAUGCCACAAGAAUUUAACCAUUAUAUGUUGUUUAUUUCAAUUUAUUCCUUCAAACAAGAGAAAUCUUUACAUACAGUACAAGGAAGUUUUUUAAGAUAAAAUAAUUGAUUUUAUUUAUAGGAUGUAGUCUAUAUAACACAGCUGAAAUUGAUUGCUUGUGGUUUGGCUAGUUGAAACCAGAUACUGUCACUAUUUCACAAAAAGUGACGUGAAGAUGUACUUUCCUCAUUUUAUGCUAUAAAUAAGAUUAGUGUCUUUAUCCCCUUUGAAUUUUCUUCUUAUACAAAAGACUGUUUAAUCGAUUGUGUUCUUUUAACAUAAAAAAAAAAAAAACUCAAAAAAAAAUUUUUGACUUUUCCUUCUAGAAGAUAUUCAAAUGAAAUCCAUCUAGGUUGUGUUGAUUUUAUUGUUCUAUAUGGAAGAGAGUGAUAUUUCAAGCAAAAGACUAAUUAAUAGCCCGAUAAAUAAGUACUCACAAAAUCGCGUUUUCGAUCAGUUCCAUUGGUUUUAAUGAUUUCUUAAAUGCUUAUCAAUUCCACGCUAAUUCGAACUCGUACAACGAUUCAAAUAUAGUUUCGACUUUUGGACGAAUAACUUAUCAUGCUCCUCUACUUGCGACUUUCAAUUCUGCUUUUUUUAGCGUCUAAUGUAAAUUUACAAACAAAGCCUUGGACAACAAGAAAACCUAUAGAACACUAUCUGCCUGUUAUAAAUUCGACUUUGCCUUGUGAAAAGUGCCCUAAUGUCUAUCUUCCCGUGUGCACGAAUACUAAUGAAACCUUUAUGAACAUUUGCUUCAUGAAUUGUGAGAAGCGGGACCUCAAAUUUGUAAGGCGUGGCAUAUGUAUCGAAUUUUAAAUUGUAAAUAAACAAAGAAAUUUCUCUUUUAUAUAAA